GACGAACGCUGGCGGCGUGCUUAACACAUGCAAGUCACGGGGGCCCGCAAGGGUAACCGGCGAACGGGUGCGUAACACGUGAGCAAUCUGCCGUACACUGGGGGAUAGCCGGCCCAACGGCCGGGUAAUACCGCAUACGUUCUUCGGGCGGCAUCGCUUGAAGAAGAAACCUCCGGGGGUGUACGAGGAGCUCGCGGCCUAUCAGGUAGUUGGUGGGGUCACGGCCUACCAAGCCAUUGACGGGUAGCUGGUCUGAGAGGAUGGCCAGCCACAUUGGGACUGAGAUACGGCCCAGACUCCUACGGGAGGCAGCAGUGGGGAAUAUUGCGCAAUGGCCGCAAGGCUGACGCAGCGACGCCGCGUGGGGGAUGAAGCAUUUCGGUGUGUAAACCCCUGUUGCUCGGGACGAACAACGAGUUUCGACUCGUCUGACGGUACCGGGUGAGGAAGCACCGGCUAACUCCGUGCCAGCCGCCGCCGUAAUAC
rnacentral:rRNA from 1 species